UAAUGACAUUUAUCAAAAAAUAUUAUUUUAAAUAUAAAAAUAUCAUAUUAGAUAAUAUAUAGUGACAUAAUUCAUCAAAUGUCACCAAAUUAGUAACCUAAUAAUCACUUAAUAAUUAAAUUUUUUUGUUAUUUUUCCCUGCCCUAACGCUAACCCGACCCUUUCCCUCAUCACAAAAAUCGCGAUUUUCUUUCUCUGUACUCGCUCGCCGCUCCCCCACCCUAAGCGCUGCUCCGAUCCUCUCCCUUUCUCUUCCGUUAGCUGCUCUCGUCAUCGCUGCUUUUCUCCGUGCUCCUCCCUAAUCUGCUCUCAGCGGCGCUCCUCUCCCUUUCUCCUCCCUCUGCUCUCGUUCGUUGUCGCUCCUCUCCCUAAUCUGCUCUCACUGUCGCUGGGAUCUUCACCCACGCUCACGCAUACCUGUGCCGCCACCGGCCUCCACCAUGAUUCCUCCACAGCACUGCAUACACGCUGUGAUUCUGCCUUUCUCCUCCCAAACUCAUUCUUGUCGUCGCUGCUCCCUAAUCUGCGGAUCUCACCGUGAUUUGUUGUGGAUUGGAAGAAUUUAAUAGUCACCUUGCUCCUUUCUACCUAAUCGAAUCAAACAGGUAUAUAUAAUAAUAGUUUUAUGUUUCAGUCCUUAUCUAACAAGCUUCACUUGUAUAUGUGUUUGGUCUUUUUUCUUUGAAUUUUGAUGGAUAGGUUUCUUUCUUAUGUAACGUUUUAAUCUUAGUGAGUGUUAUGAGAUCUAGGGAUUCUUUAGUUUGCUCCACUUGGCUAAUGAUCUCAGCUAUGACCUUGCUCAUCACCUAAAGGUACUUCAUUAGCAAAUUCACCCUUAUAUCUUGUGCUUUGCACAAAACAUAACUAGCUUAAAGACAUCCUUUGAAAGGUUCGACAAUAGAGCCAUGGACUGGUUGUAUCCCUUGUAGUUGUAAUCAUAAUUUAGUUGCUUUGCAGAAGAAGCGUACAAAUGUUUGAUCUUGUGAGAUUUUUAGAGAUUCUUAAUUUCUUGAACUUGGUCACCUCUACAUCUCAUGUUUAUUCUCAAUAUAAUAUAGAGGUGUUGGUUCUAUGAAAUUACCUUAUUAUUAUGGCUGAGUUGGAGACUUCUACUAAGUAAGUUUUCUACUCAUCCUAAUCGUCAAAACUUACAAAAUCAUGGGAGUUGAUUCCUCAACAGUUGAGGUAAAACUCCACACUCACUUGCAUGCAACAUGAGAGCAUGCAAGAUACCAACCAUCAUCACAGUAAAAUAACCAAGGUGCAAACACAAUUCCAACAUGCGGAUUUGUGUUCACACUUACACCUCACCAACAUCACGGCCAGCUCCAUCUUGCCUUCAUCAAACAGAUAGCAGCUUCAAGCAAAUCCAGCACGGUGACAAUUCCAGCAUAUCAAGAACACAUCAAAACCGGAUAGCAAUUCCAAACUCAGCUUCACACGGACAGCAGCUUUACUCAGCACGGUGACAAUUCCAGCACAUCAGAAUUCCAGCACACACAGUAAUGGAUUGGAGCAAAGUACCUAAAAUAGAAUGAAAAGAAUUAAGAGAAGCCUUAACUCAUUGACAAUUCCAAACUCAACACGGUGACAAUUCCAAACUCAAUGAUUUGUUAGUAUUUAGUUAACAUUGGAUUCAAUACUUUUACAUUAGUAAUGCAUUUGUAUUUUUGUGAUGAUGGGAUGAAUUAUAUAUGAUGACAUGGCAAAUGGAUUAGAUAUUUUGGAUAUAAAAAAAUUUUAUUCUUAUUGUGACGA